rnacentral:rRNA from 1 species
UACGGUAGGGGGCAAGCGUUGUCCGGAUUUAUUGGGCGUAAAGAGCGUGUAGGCGGUUCGGUAGGUCCGUUGUGAAAACUCGAGCUCAACCUCGAGACGCCGAUGGAAACCCCCGAACUAGAGUCCGGAAGAGGAGAGUGGAAUUCCUGGUGUAGCGGUGAAAUGCGCAGAUAUCAGGAGGAACACCGAUGGCGAAGGCAGGUCUCUGGGCCACUACUGACGCUGAGAAGCGAAAGCAUGGGGAGCGAACAGG